UGUAUGCUGCUUGCCUUUCCACAAAAUUAAUUUUUUUUUUGAAAAUCUUUCUCUCUCUUCUCAAUCUUCCCUCAUUUGUCCCAUCUCUUUUUUUUCUCCAUUGCAAGAAUUCUUGACCUUUUUUAUAUAUUUUCAGCUGUCAACAGGAGCUUAAGAACACCCCAAUACACUUUUUUUUUAAAAUUUGUACAUCUGGGGUUGCAGAAAGAUUGCUUUUUUAUUAAUGGGGUGAUUUUUCUUGUAAAGAUAGGGUUUUUAUUCAUUGUUGGGUUAUUUGGAGAUGAUGGGUGUUGGUAUUUGUAGAAGGAUGUAGCUGGACAAUAAUUUUCUUCAAAUUUUGAUUGAUGAUUUUUAGGCUUCAUUUUUUUGAAAGUUGUGAACUAUAAAUUGAUUUUGAUCUUUAGGGGUGGUAAUUGGAUAGAUGUAUGAGUAGUUUUGAUGGGGUUAAUUGUUUCUUGGAUUUUCUGGGAUUUUUUGGCCAAUCUAAGUGUGUGAAAAUCUGAGAGAAUUAAUUACUUUGGCUGUUGAAAUUGUUGUUGUUGGUGAAAUUUCUGAAGUGGGGUUGUUGAAAUCAGCAUGGAUCAUGUUGUGGGUGGGAAGUUUAAGCUUGGAAGGAAGAUUGGGAGUGGUUCUUUUGGUGAGCUUUAUUUAGGUGUGAAUAUACAGAAUGGAGAAGAAGUUGCCAUUAAGCUGGAAUCUGUCAAGACGAAGCACCCUCAACUUCAUUACGAGUCAAAAAUAUAUAUGCUUCUCCAAGGAGGAACCGGGAUUCCCAAUCUCAAAUGGUUUGGAGUUGAGGGCGAGUACAAUGUGAUGGUCAUUGACCUUCUUGGACCAAGUUUGGAAGACCUCUUCAACUAUUGCAAUAGGAAGUUCACUUUGAAAACAGUUUUAAUGCUUGCAGAUCAACUAAUUAAUAGAGUUGAGUAUAUGCACUCACGAGGAUUUCUUCACCGUGACAUAAAGCCAGACAACUUUUUAAUGGGCUUAGGUCGCAAAGCAAAUCAGGUUUAUGCCAUCGACUUUGGGCUUGCCAAAAAGUAUAGGGACCUACAGACUCACAAGCAUAUACCAUACAGAGAAAACAAGAAUCUGACCGGCACAGCUCGUUAUGCCAGUGUCAACACACACCUUGGAGUUGAGCAAAGCAGAAGAGAUGAUUUGGAAUCUCUUGGCUAUGUGCUUAUGUAUUUUCUUAGAGGAAGCCUUCCAUGGCAGGGACUGAAAGCUGGGACCAAAAAGCAGAAAUAUGAUAAAAUUAGUGAGAAGAAGAUGUUAACUCCAAUAGAGGUGUUAUGCAAAUCCUAUCCUUCAGAAUUUAUAUCAUACUUCCAGUAUUGUCGAUCAUUACGGUUUGAAGAUAAACCUGACUAUUCAUAUUUGAAGAGGUUGUUCAGAGAUUUGUUUAUUCGUGAAGGUUAUCAAUUUGACUAUGUUUUUGAUUGGACCAUUUUGAAGUACCCUCAGAUCGGUGCCAGUUCUAGAGGACGACUUCCUGGUGGAAGUACCGGGGCUAAAUGCUGGGCCAUCUGCUGAAAGACCAGGAAGGACAUCAGUCGGACAAGAUAUUCGAGACAGGUUUUCUGGUGCUGUUGAAGCAUUUUCUAGAAGGAAUGCUUCUGGUACGGGAAAGCAUGGGGAGUACUCCAGACACAAGACUUCAGAGGAUAUGACUUCAUCUAAAGAUGUGCAAGCUGAUUCAGAAAGAGGCCGUACCUCAAGAAACGGAAGCUCUUCAAAAAGGGCUGCCAUUUCUAGCAGCAGACCGAGCUCUUCUGGUGAUCCCACCAUCACUGAUAGUCGGUCGAGCAGACUAGUGUCAAGCAAUGGGCGUGUGUCUACCACACAAAGAAUUCAUCCAGGUAUGGAACCAAAACCAUCACCUUUCUCACGUAAGGGGACACGGGAUGACCCUCUUCGGAGCUUCGAGUUCCUUUCAAUCCGAAAGUAGAAAAAAGCAUGUCACUUGUAUAAAGAGAGAAUUUCCUGUUUGUUUUGGAACAUUGCAAUCCUUUUAAGUGUUGUAUAUUGAAAAUGUUUCUAUGUGACAACUAAAGCUUAUCCCAACUUCCAAUUGUUCCUUGUUUUGGUUUUGAUUUUAGAGCUUGAGUUCUGGCCAUUUGUAAAAGCCUUUUGACUCAUCCAAAGAAUUGAUGAGUAAAAAGUGCUAGAGUUUCAUACAUGUACACUCAGAUGGUAUGUAUUAUGUAAUAAAUAUUAUUAUUGUACCAAUGAAUGUAUCUUUUUUACUCAGUAGUAGGAUGAACCUUUUAUC